rnacentral:rRNA from 1 species
UACAGAGGGGGCAAGCGUUGUUCGGAAUUACUGGGCGUAAAGGGUGCGCAGGCGGCCGUGUGUGUGAGGCGUGAAAGCCCGGGGCUUAACCCCGGAAUUGCACCUCAAACUACACGGCUAGAGCAUUGGAGAGGGUAGCAGAAUUCACGGUGUAGCAGUGAAAUGCGUAGAUAUCGUGAGGAAUACCAGAGGCGAAGGCGGCUACCUGGACAAUUGCUGACGCUCAGGCACGAAAGCGUGGGGAGCAAAAAGGG